UUUCCUCUUUAAAAAGUUGUGGUAACUAUGGACUUCACUGAUUGUAUUCCGGUAACACUAGGACUGUUUUUUGGAACACACUGGAUAAAAUAUUAGGUUAGGACUAAAUCCUUUUUCUUUUCACUUUGAAGACAAUUAUCUUUAAUUUUCAAAAAAGCUCUUGAACCUUUCCCUCACCUAUUGUAGUGGUAGUCGAAUGAUUAACGAUAAGCUAAUUCAAUAGUUCUUUGGAAAUCACAGUGUUGGAAAGAUCAAAUGAUUUUCACUUUAAGUUUUUUUGAUGUUUUUAAUGUUUAAUUUAUUUUUGAGACAGAGAGACAGUACGAAAGGGGGAGGGACAGAGAGAGAAGGAGACAUAGAAUCCCAAGCAGGCUCCAGGCUCUGAGCUGUCAACACAGAGCCCGACGCAGGGCUCCAACUCACGAACCAUGAGAUCAUGACCUGAGCUGGAGUCGGAUGCUUAACGGGUUGAGCCACCCAGGUGCCCCGUUGGCUGAACUUUAAAUUGGACCUUACUUUUUUUCAUCUCAGAUUUUUUAAACUUUUAAGGUUAUAAUUUACAUCUUAAUGAGGUUAUGUAUAUUUUUUAUAUGUGACUCAUUUUUUUAAAGUUUAUUUUAAGAGAGAGCAUGCAUGCAUGCAGGUGGGGGAGGGGCAGAGAGCGAGGGAGAGAGAGGAUCCCAAGCAGGCUCCGUGCUGUCAGCGCAGAGCCCGACAUGGGGCUCGAUCUCAGGAACCAGGAGGUCACGACCUGAGCCGAGAGCAAGAGUUGGACGUUUAAGGGACUGAGCCACGCAGAGUCCCCAUGUGAUCUGUUUUUUGAGAGAGUAGAUUCAUUAAAGGGUUCUGCAACAAGUCUGCGUAUCCUAGUUGAGUUCAGGUCGACUAUUUAUUGAGAAACUGGCGAAGGAGUUCACGUCGUGACCGUGGCACGAAGUGUUCAAGAACGUUGUGGGUCUGCAGGUGGUACCUGUUGUGACUCAAAAGGACAGGAUCUUUCCUUCUGAAACCACAGACCGUCCAGUCUCAGCAGGCCUCUACUGGUCUGGCCUGGUCAUUAUACCUCUGCUUCCUAGAUGCUCUUUGAGGAGCGACCUGCCUUUACUGCUCACAAACUCUCAUCUGCAGGGUUUGGCUAAGGACUUUGAGAGGCAAAUGGGUGUUUUGAAUCCUCUGUUUCGAUCUGCAGCCUGCCUUUCUUUUGUGAGAAGAUGUGUGCAACUGUGGAAAAUGCUCGUCAUCACUGUGACGAAAGGAUUACUUCGAUCUUUAAACACGUAGGCAACUUUAGAUUCUCCCAGAACUUAGACGGGAUGCCUGGCUACAAGCCCGAGAGGAAACGUGUGGGAAGCGAUCACAAAAAAGACCACAGUGGUUCCUGUGAGAGUGAACCUGGCUCCUGGUGGCAGCAGAGUUCACGGUUAGGGUUCCUAUCUUUGUGAUGCUUCUUGGAAAGUCCCCCUUGUGCCAUGAUUUUACCCAAAGAUUUGUUGACAUUCAGGAAUGGAUUCGAAUGCUGCUCCUGGAUCUAGAGAAACUUUCCACUAUCAGAUUAAUUAAAGGAAACCUUUUUUAUUUUUUUUAAAUGUUUAUUUAUUUUUGAGAGAGGGAGACAGCAUAAGUGGGGGAGGGGCAGUGAGAGAGAGAGGGGGAGAGAGAGAGAGAGAGAGACAGAAUCUGAAACAGCCUCCAGGCUCUGAGCUCUCAGCAUAAAGCCCGAUAUGGAGCUCGAAGUCACGAACCGCAAGAUCAUGACCUGAGCCAAAGUUGGACACUUAACCGACUGAGCCACCCAGGUGCCCCAAGGAAACCUUUUUCUCAUGACACGUUCUUUGUUCAAUGUUGCCGUGUACUUGUGUGGAAAGUCUGAUUGCCACAUUACCUUAAUUUCCCCAGAGAACUGCGUUCCAGCAGCCCUCAGUGCUGACCAGAAUGGAAGGGCAAAGUAGUGAAUAAAAUUCAGUCAAAUAUAAAACACGUUACCGAGCUAGAUUUACUCGUCCGUGGGGAAAGUGACAAGAUGCUGAUAGAAAGUACACGUUUGGAGCUCACAAAAAACAUGAAACCUUUAAAUUAGGGAAGAAGAGCAUUGAAAGGACCUGUAACGCAUGUUUAUAAAAACGAACAUUUCUAAACCCAGAGCAGAGUGAGGGUGCUUCGAGGCCAUCAUGAGGACGGGGGGUGUUCUUUCACAAGUAAAUAAGCCAAAGCAGAAUUCUGCCCGGGAAGCAUGGGGGGGUCAUUUAGGAAUGAUGGACCCCGAGCGAGCGUGUCUUAAAGGGUUUGGUUCCCGACUGUGCUAUUGUGAGAAGCACCCUUGGGUGGCCCUGCCUAGUCUUGGGCCAUCACGUGUGUCUGGACCUGCCUUCAGACAAAACACUGAGGAGCCCGGGUCCUUCCUACCUUUUAUUUGUAUAUUGUUUCUGUUAGAACUUACGUGGCUACCCAGGUUUUGACCAGUUCUUGUUGUUCUAAAGUCUCCUGUCACAUCAGAUCCGUGAUCUCGUGAGCCUGUUCCCUGUAUAGAACUUUUUAAUUGAUUGCAAAGCCCCAUGUGUUAGAUGAAGUCCUGUGAAAUCACAGAUAUUUGUGAUCGACACAGAUGUCAAACCCUGCUCAACCGCGCGGCGGAAUAGGUUCCUAGAACAGGUGCUGCGGUGUUAUACGCGGCUUGAAGAGUUAAGGAGAGAGUUUCCAGAAUUAAGCAAGAUAGCCAAGGAAAGGAAAGAUAAUUAAAGGACAAGACGCAUUGACUUCAGAAAGCCCCCAUUUGCCUCGCUUCCUCUGCUUAUGUCCUCCCUCCAGGCCAAUGGUCUCGGAUGUGAGGGCUCAUCUUACUUCCAUCGUAAUUGAAGGAUGAUCCCUGGUCUUCUAACUAUGAUGUGUUAGUUGCGCACGUGCGGGGGACUGGCUGGCGAUCUCUGACUGUGCCCUGGUGGGGGGGGGUGCUGCCUGGGUCAUGCAGCUGGCAGAGAGGUUAGACAGCCACACUUCUCCGUUUAUUAGAGCACAGACGGUCAUCGGAACAGCCUAGGAAGAAACGUUUGUAUACGUCCACCCCGUGUCCACCCGUUGUAACGGGAUUUAAGGGUAGAGCAGAAGGAACUCUCACGGAACACUCUGUUGUUCCCACCGUGCUCCUGGCCACAUCCGCUUGAGAUGUGCGUCCCCAGCGGCGAAGCCGGGACCCACGUGGCAGUCCCGCACGGUCUGGUCUCUGACACAGAUUCGGUGAUGGGAGGGACUUCUGUCUUCACGCAGGACGCCAGCCUUGGCCGCAGCAAGAGGCUGAACAGGAUGGAGCAGAUCAAGGGGUUGUGGAUCAGGGAGGGGAGGCCAGGGGAAACCCCAAGUGUAGACGGGACCUGACAAGAUGCGGUUUACUGGGGCGGAGGGGAAGGAAAGCAAGCUCAUCUGGGGACGGUGUCAUCCAAGAGUCAGAUCUUUGACGGGUGGAUGCAGGGAGCGGUAAUCCUGAGGGGGUCUCGGGGGUCUGGGGGCGCUCUAUUCCAGACGAGCUGGUGGGGUCGCUAAAAGUAAAAAUCAAUGCAGUC